GACAGAGGGUGCAAACGUUGCUCGGAAUUACUGGGCGUAAAGCGCGUGUAGGUGGAUUGGUGUGUCAGAUGUGAAAUCCCUGGGCUCAACCCAGGAACUGCACCUGAAACUACCAGUCUUGAGUGGUGGAGAGGGAAGUGGAAUUCCUGGUGUAGAGGUGAAAUUCGUAGAUAUCAGGAGGAACACCAGUGGCGAAGGCGGUUCUCUGGGACGGUACUGACGCUGAGACGCGAAAGCGUGGGGAGCGAACAGG
rnacentral:rRNA from 1 species